UACGUAGGCAGCAAGCGUUGUUCGGAGUUACUGGGCGUAAAGGGUGCGUAGGCGGCCCUGUAAGUAUGGUGUGAAAUCUCCCGGCUUAACUGGGAGGGUGCGCUAUAGACUGCGGGGCUCGAGUGUGGGAGAGGAAAGUGGAAUUCCUGGUGUAGCGGUGAAAUGCGUAGAUAUCAGGAGGAACACCGGUGGUGUAAACGGCUUUCUGGACCAUAAACUGACGCU
rnacentral:rRNA from 1 species